CCUACGGGUGGCAGCAGUGGGGAAUAUUGGACAAUGGGCGAAAGCCUGAUCCAGCCAUGCCGCGUGUGUGAAGAAGGCCUUCGGGUUGUAAAGCACUUUCAGUGGGGAAGAAAGCCUUGGGGCUAAUACCCUCGAGGAAGGACAUCACCCACAGAAGAAGCACCGGCUAACUCCGUGCCAGCAGCCGCGGUAAUACGGAGGGUGCGAGCGUUAAUCGGAAUUACUGGGCGUAAAGCGCGCGUAGGCGGUCUGAUAAGCCGGUUGUGAAAGCCCCGGGCUCAACCUGGGAACGGCAUCCGGAACUGUCAGGCUAGAGGGCCGGAGAGGAAGGGAGAAUUCCCGGUGGAGCGGUGAAAUGCGUAGGGAUCGGGAGGAAUACCAGUGGCGAAGGCGGGCUUCUGGACUGAAACUGACGCUGAGGUGCGAAAGGGUGGGUAGCAAACAGGAUUAGAUACCCCAGUAGUC
rnacentral:rRNA from 1 species